AAGCCCAUGGACCGUAGGGGUCUGCCCCUCGCGUAAUUACCAAGGAUCUCGCAGCUUGAUCAGUAAUUGGCAAAUGAAGAGAGGCAGAAGAACUCAAGGGCUAGCUCCGUACACCGGGGACCGCUGUCACACAUCCAAACCGCGGCUCCGCGUGGGAAUCUGAGGCCAGAGCGCCGCAGCUCCCGUGGCCAACGCGCUCGCCUCGCCGCCCGCAUUAGUCCACCGCCCGGCGGCGCACACUGGAGCAGCACGGCGGUCUCGGAACCUCCGGGGUCACAGGACGCAGGUCCCAGGCUAGCGCGAGCGGCAGGGGAAAUCACCGUCCGCUGACACCCAGCCACCCGCCGGGGUUAGGGACUGUGCGUCUUGCAGCCGCUGUCUCGCGCAGGGCACGCCACCCCGAGAACGUCCCCGGGAUCCAGGCCGCAGGGCCGCCAACGUCCCCCGGGGUCCCCGCGCGCCCAGCCCGGCCCUCCCCCGCGCCACUGAGUCCGCCGGCUCCUACCUUCCUCCUGCACCAUCUCCAGGACAUCUGGAUCGCCCAUCUUGGCCAGCUCGUUAAUGACACUGACCGAGUGGCGGCAGAUGGGCCACUGCGACUGGAGAACUCAGCCACAGGACAUUGAGCCCUGCUCCACCGGCACCUUACUGCCUUGAGCGGAGGAAAUGGUCCCCCUCUUCACAGCCUCCUCUGCACUGGUUCUGUGUGGCUGAGACUCUAUCAACUGCCAGCUCCCCAAUACUUACUUGGAGCAACUUGAUUGAAGAGCUGGAUUUAACUCUGAAGAGGACAAGUUCAUGAGCUAGACUCUGGAGACCAGAAAAGGCCUGGGGAAGUCAUCUGAUGAAUUCUCCAUUCUCCUGGUAUUUCAAGAAAGAAUGUGGCACCUCCAGUCCAUGUUCUAGAUCAGUCUGCUUUCUCGAUUUCUCUAUAUAUCAUACUUUACUUCCUAGACUAAGUUUCCUUCUUUUGGGCUAUUAGGCAUUUAUUAUUUUUUAACUCCUAAAAAUUUCAUUCAUUCUACGUUUAGUUGACCCUCGAACAAUACAGGGGUUAGGGGCAUCAACCCUCACACAGUCAAAAAUCUGCAUAUAACUUUUGACUUCCCCAAAACUUAAACAAUAGCCUAUUGAUGAUCAGAAGCCUUAACAAGGACAUAAACAAUUAACACAUAUUUUUUAUGUUAUAUGUGUUACAUACUGUAUUAUUAC